CAGUCGAGCGAGAAAGGCCUUCGGGCUGAGUACAGCGGCGGACGGGUGAGUAACGCGUAGGAAUCUACCUGGUAGUGGGGGACAACAUGGGGAAACUCAUGCUAAUACCGCAUACGCCCUAUGGGGGAAAGCGGGGGACCUUCGGGCCUCGCGCUAUCAGAUGAGCCUGCGUAGGAUUAGCUUGUUGGUGAGGUAAAGGCUCACCAAGGCGACGAUCCUUAGCUGGUCUGAGAGGAUGAUCAGCCACACUGGAACUGAGACACGGUCCAGACUCCUACGGGAGGCAGCAGUGGGGAAUAUUGCGCAAUGGGCGAAAGCCUGACGCAGCCAUGCCGCGUGUGUGAAGAAGGCCUUCGGGUUGUAAAGCACUUUCAAUUGGGAAGAAAGGUUGCGUGUUAAUAGCACGUAGCUGUGACGUUACCUUUAGAAGAAGCACCGGCUAACUCCGUGCCAGCAGCCGCGGUAAUACGGAGGGUGCGAGCGUUAAUCGGAAUUACUGGGCGUAAAGCGCGCGUAGGCGGUUUGUUAAGUCGGAUGUGAAAGCCCCGGGCUCAACCUGGGAAUUGCAUUCGAUACUGGCCGACUAGAGUACGAGAGAGGGAGGUAGAAUUCCACGUGUAGCGGUGAAAUGCGUAGAUAUGUGGAGGAAUACCGGUGGCGAAGGCGGCCUCCUGGCUCGAUACUGACGCUGAGGUGCGAAAGCGUGGGUAGCAAACAGGAUUAGAUACCCUGGUAGUCCACGCCGUAAACGAUGUCUACUAGCCGUUGGGAGACUUGAUUUCUUAGUGGCGCAGCUAACGCACUAAGUAG
rnacentral:rRNA from 1 species